rnacentral:rRNA from 1 species
UAGUGAGUUUGAUCCUGGCUCAGAACGAACGCUGGCGGCAUGCCUAACACAUGCAAGUCGAACGAGACCGUUCGGUCUAGUGGCGCACGGGUGCGUAACGCGUGGGAAUCUGCCCUUGGGUUCGGAACAACGAGUUGGAAACGACUGCUAAUACCGGAUGAUGACUUCGGUCCAAAGAUUUAUCGCCGAUGGGAUGGGCCCGCGUAGGAUUAGCUUGUUGGUGGGGUAACGCCUACCAAGGCAACGAUCCUUAGCUGGUCUGAGAGGAUGAUCAGCCACACUGGGACUGAGACACGGCCCAGACUCCUACGGGAGGCAGCAGUGGGGAAUCUUAGACAAUGGGCGCAAGCCUGAUCUAGCCAUGCCGCGUGGUGA